rnacentral:rRNA from 1 species
CAGCAGCCACGGGAAUACAGAGGGUGCGAGCGUUAAUCGGAUUUACUGGGCGUAAAGCGUGCGUAGGCGGCUUCUUAAGUCGGAUGUGAAAUCCCUGAGCUUAACUUAGGAAUUGCAUUCGAUACUGGGAAGCUAGAGUAUGGGAGAGGAUGGUAGAAUUCCAGGUGUAGCGGUGAAAUGCGUAGAGAUCUGGAGGAAUACCGAUGGCGAAAGCAGCCAUCUGGCCUAAUACUGACGCUGAGGUACGAAAGCAUGGGGAGCAAACAGGAUUAGAUACCCCGGUAGUCCCUGUCUCUUAUAA